GCUGGGCACGGUGGCUCAUGCCUGUAAUCCCAGCACUUUGGGAGGCUGAGGCGAGUGGAUCGCCUGAGGUCAGGAGUUUGAGACCAGCCUGGCCAACAUGGUGAAAUCUCGCCUCUA
rnacentral:SRP_RNA from 1 species